rnacentral:tRNA from 1 species
UAUAUUUUAGUGUAAGAUGCACGAUAAUUUUUGAAAUUAUAGGUUUUAGAUUAAUUUUAAAAAAUAUAA